GAUGAACGCUAGCGGCAGGCUUAAUACAUGCAAGUCGAGGGGCAGCAGGUUUGUAGCAAUACAGAUGCUGGCGACCGGCAAACGGGUGCGGAACACGUACAGAACCUUCCUUUAAGCGGGGAAUAGCCCAGAGAAAUUUGGAUUAAUACCCCAUAGUAUUGUUGGGUGGCAUCACUUGAUGAUUAAAGAUUUAUCACUUAAAGAUGGCUGUGCAGCUGAUUAGGUAGUUGGCGGGGUAACGGCCCACCAAGCCUUCGAUCAGUAACUGGUGUGAGAGCACGACCAGUCACACGGGCACUGGGACACGGGCCCGACUCCUACGGGAGGCAGCAGUAAGGAAUAUUGGGCAAUGGACGGAAGUCUGACCCAGCCAUGCCGCGUGGAGGAUGAAGGUCCUCUGGAUUGUAAACUUCUUUUAUUUGGGAAGAAACCCGAUUUUUCUAAGUCGGUUGACGGUACCAGAUGAAUAAGCACCGGCUAACUCCGUGCCAGCAGCCGCCGUAACAC
rnacentral:rRNA from 1 species